AGGACGAACGCUGGCGGCGUGCUUAACACAUGCAAGUCGAACGAGGUGCUUCGGCACUUAGUGGCGAACGGGUGAGUAACACGUGAGCAACCUGCCCUUGGCUCUGGGAUAGCCUCCGGAAACGGGGAUUAAUACCGGACAUGACCUUCCCCGGCAUCGGGGUUGGUGGAAAGUUUUUUCGGCCAGGGAGGGGCUCGCGGCCUAUCAGCUUGUUGGGGGGGUAACGGCCCACCAAGGCGACGACGGGUAGCC
rnacentral:rRNA from 1 species